GAUGAACGCUGGCGGCGUGCCUAAUACAUGCAAGUCGAGCGAACGGACGAGAAGCUUGCUUCUCUGAUGUUAGCGGCGGACGGGUGAGUAACACGUGGAUAACCUACCUAUAAGACUGGGAUAACUUCGGGAAACCGGAGCUAAUACCGGAUAAUAUUUUGAACCGCAUGGUUCAAAAGUGAAAGACGGUCUUGCUGUCACUUAUAGAUGGAUCCGCGCUGCAUUAGCUAGUUGGUAAGGUAACGGCUUACCAAGGCAACGAUGCAUAGCCGACCUGAGAGGGUGAUCGGCCACACUGGAACUGAGACACGGUCCAGACUCCUACGGGAGGCAGCAGUAGGGAAUCUUCCGCAAUGGGCGAAAGCCUGACGGAGCAACGCCGCGUGAGUGAUGAAGGUCUUCGGAACGUAAAACUCCGUUAUUAGGGAAGAACAUAUGUGUAAGUAACUGUGCACAUCUUGACGGUACCUAAUCAGAAAGCCACGGCUAACUACGUG
rnacentral:rRNA from 1 species